AUGCCUUCUCAGAUUCUAAAUGAGGAUGGGUAUAAGUUGCCGAGGGGAUCUGCGCAUCCGAAAUUACAUUGGGGGACAACGAAAAUGGUAGUACUCCUAGCAUCAAUCUAUCGAGACCCGUCGCCGUCGCACCAGCCGAUCCAUUCCGGCUCCCACUCCCCGCCGCCAGCCCGAGAAGCGACGCCGAUCGGCGAAACCACCUUCCCAUCCGGAGGAGGGAGAACCGAUGGAUGGAUCAGUCCGUGUACCACUCCCAUCCCAUCCCCACCGGGCAACCAACGCGAAGAGACUGGAGACAAGAUCGAGAUCGGGCCGGAUUACCGUGGGCGGAGACGUCGGAAGGAGGUGGCCGGGCUCCGCCGCGCGUGA
rnacentral:rRNA from 1 species